AUUGAACGCUGGCGGCAGGCCUAACACAUGCAAGUCGAACGGUAACAGGAAGAAGCUUGCUUCUUUGCUGACGAGUGGCGGACGGGUGAGUAAUGUCUGGGAAACUGCCUGAUGGAGGGGGAUAACUACUGGAAACGGUAGCUAAUACCGCAUAAUGUCGCAAGACCAAAGAGGGGGACCUUCGGGCCUCUUGCCAUCGGAUGUGCCCAGAUGGGAUUAGCUAGUAGGUGGGGUAACGGCUCACCUAGGCGACGAUCCCUAGCUGGUCUGAGAGGAUGACCAGCCACACUGGAACUGAGACACGGUCCAGACUCCUACGGGAGGCAGCAGUGGGGAAUAUUGCACAAUGGGCGCAAGCCUGAUGCAGCCAUGCCGCGUGUAUGAAGAAGGCCUUCGGGUUGUAAAGUACUUUCAGCGGGGAGGAAGGGAGUAAAGUUAAUACCUUUGCUCAUUGACGUUACCCGCAGAAGAAGCACCGGCUAACUCCGUG
rnacentral:rRNA from 1 species